CCUACGGGAGGCAGCAGUAGGGAAUCUUCCACAAUGGGCGAAAGCCUGAUGGAGCAACGCCGCGUGGGUGAAGAAGGUCUUCGGAUCGUAAAACCCUGUUGUUAGAGAAGAAAGUGCGUGAGAGUAACUGUUCACGUUUCGACGGUAUCUAACCAGAAAGCCACGGCUAACUACGUGCCAGCAGCCGCGGUAAUACGUAGGUGGCAAGCGUUAUCCGGAUUUAUUGGGCGUAAAGGGAACGCAGGCGGUCUUUUAAGUCUGAUGUGAAAGCCUUCGGCUUAACCGGAGUAGUGCAUUGGAAACUGGGAGACUUGAGUGCAGAAGAGGAGAGUGGAACUCCAUGUGUAGCGGUGAAAUGCGUAGAUAUAUGGAAGAACACCAGUGGCGAAAGCGACUCGCUGGUCUGUAACUGACGCUGAGGUUCGAAAGCGUGGGUAGCAAACAGGAUUAGAUACCCGUGUAGUC
rnacentral:rRNA from 1 species